rnacentral:RNase_P_RNA from 1 species
CGGGUCGGCCAGACGGUCGCGUCGCGUGCCCGGUGCCUCUCGAAGGCGCCGUGUGCGCGCCGAGGAACGUCCGGGCUCCGCAGAGCAGGGUGGUGGGUAACGCCCACCCGGAGUGAUCCGCGAGAAAGUGCAACAGAGAGCAGACCGCCACGUCGCGCAAGCGGCGGGGUAAGGGUGAAACGGUGGUGUAAGAGACCACCAGGGGCCCGAGUGAUCGGGCUCGCUGGGUAAACCUCGCCCGGAGCAAGGUCAGACAGGUGCCGUUGAGGUUGCUCGCCGAGGCACCGGGUAGACCGCUAGAGGGCUGCGGCAACGUAGCCCCGAGAGAGAUGGCCGUCCGGUCGGCUCACGUCGACUGACAGAACCCGGCGUAUCGGCCGGCCCGUUCG